rnacentral:misc_RNA from 1 species
GAUGAAGAACGUAGCGAAAUGCGAUAAGUAAUGUGAAUUGCAGAAUUCAGUGAAUCAUCGAAUCUUUGAACGCACAUUGCGCCCUCCGGUAUUCCGGGGGGCAUGCCUGUCCGAGCGUCAUUUCAACCCUCAAGCCCCCGGGCUUGGUGUUGGGGAUCGGCGAGCCUCCGCGCCCGCCGUCCCCUAAAUCUAGUGGCGGUCUCGCUGUAGCUUCCUCUGCGUAGUAGCACACCUCGCACUGGGAAACAGCGCGGCCACGCCGUUAAACCCCCAACUUCUGAACGUUUGACCUCGGAUCAGGUAGGAAUACCCGCUGAACUUAAGCAUAUCAAUAAGCGGAGGA